CGGUCAUAUACCAAGGCUUUCGGGAGGUGAAGUUCUCGACUUGCUGUGGACAUGACCGGAAAGCAUAUCCCAUCCCAGUGGAUCGUGUCGGGAGAACCGGCACGGUCCACUGGGAACACGU
rnacentral:snoRNA from 1 species